GUCUACGGCCAUACCACCCUGAAUGCGCCCGAUCUCAUCUGAUCUCGGAAGCUAAGCAGGGUCGGGCCAGGUUAGUACUUGGAUGGGAGAGUAGUAUCAUGUAUCCAGUAGAGU
rnacentral:rRNA from 1 species